AGGGAGGGUAGCGAAGGUAGCGAAGGUAGCGAAGGUAGCGAGGGUAGCGAAGGUAGCGAGGGUAGCGAAGGUAGCGAGGGUAGCGAAGGUAGCAAGGGUAGCGAAGGUAGCAAGGGUAGCAAAGGUAGCGAGGGUAGCGAAGGUAGCAAGGGUAGCAAAGGUAGCAAGGGUAGCAAAGGUAGCGAGGGUAGCGAAGGUAGCGAAGAUAGCGAGGGUAGCGAAGGUAGCGAGGGUAGCGAGGGUAGCGAGGGUAG
rnacentral:lncRNA from 1 species